UCGUUACCUGUCACUUGAGUAAUCCUAUCUCGGUCACCAUCUUUCCAUAAUAUUACAAUUUUACUUUUAAUUACUCUUAAGGUUAUUAAUGAAUUUGUGAAGAAAAAUCAAAUUGAUUUACAAAUGAACAUUUACAAAAAAGAAAUCGCCGGAUCUUCAUCCGUGCGGCGGGUGGGGUCUGUGGGAGUUGAACCUCACUCACCACCAGGUGGGCUAUGUGCUCGUUCGUCUGCUUAGAAGGGCAAUAAAAAAAAGAAGACGAUAUAGAUGAGCGGAAGCGUACGUCAAUUCAGGGCGCACGUUUUUAGAGUUGACUGAAAGCCAACAACCACAGUAGAUAUGUGUGUUCACAAGUGAAAUUUUCACUAUUAUUAAGUACGUAAUUGAGAAGAUUCCAAAAUGAAUUUUACUAAACUACGUACAAAAGGUCAUGGGUCAUUGUUCAUUGUGUUUCGGUUUGCAGUUAAUGUAUUAUUUCCUGAAUAAAAUUAUUUGCUUAUUCUACGUCGUGCAUCCAAACUGUUUUAUUUCUGACGUAAUUUAAAUUGAGUGAAUGAAUUUCAUUUAUUUAAGAAUAUACUUUGCAU